rnacentral:lncRNA from 1 species
UGAAGCUGGAGGCCCGUGGCGUGCACAGGCAGCCACUCCCACACUAUGACCGGGGCCCGAGAAUGCCAAGGACAUUAGGCAGGAUCUGCCCAGGACACAGGGUUCCCAGUGCAGCUUCCUGUGGACCCUGGCACCCGGGGCAGCAACUGAUGUGCAGGUGUUCAUCAGGGUCCGUCCUUGGCACCCACACUUGAGGAGGGAGGGACUGGCAAGGGCAGUGGGAGGAGACCAGCAUGUGG